rnacentral:lncRNA from 1 species
CAUCCUCAAAGAGAUGGUCAUCUGGAAACUUUGAACUAGCAAGGCACGGUGCUACGGGAGCUCAUCGAUUUCUAUGACAGGACUACCACUUGGAGAAAGAUUUGCUGGAAAUCUCACUGCCACCAGUGACUGACUUCUCAGAGCAUCAUGCUGGAGAAGACAGCACCCUGCAUGAAAACUACACCACUAUAGAUGAAUAUCCUGAAUCUGGCUCCAGACAAACCCAUUUCAUGUGCUGACUGUACCAUGCACUAGUUAAGGGAGCUUAAAAAUUUACUGAG